rnacentral:tRNA from 1 species
GCCUGGGUGGCUCAGUAGGUUGAGCGUCCGACUUCGGCUCAGGUCAUGAUCUCGCGGUCCGUGGGUUCAAGCCCCGCGUCGGGCU